rnacentral:misc_RNA from 1 species
GUAGGUGAACCUGCGGAAGGAUCAUUAACACGUAUCCACGUAUCAACCCCUCUGUGCAAACGUAACAACGUAAAGGUCAGCCUAGUCCGCUGCUGCUUCGUAGUUGGUCUCAACGAUGGCGGGCUCGUUCUGUCCCUUCCCACUCUUCCGCUUGCGGAGGAGCAGGAGUGGUGCGCGGGAUAGGCCCGGAGAUCCAGAGCAGGCGGGCGUUUUAACGGUUGGCUGCCAUUUUUCCAUUGUUAGCCCUGUU